AACAAACGCUGGCGGCGUGCCUAAUACAUGCAAGUCGAACGGGGAAAGCUUUCGGGUGAGUACUAGUGGCGCACGGGUGAGUAACGCGUGGAUAAUCUGCCUUAGAGUGGGGGAUAACCAGUCGAAAGAUUGGCUAAUACCGCAUAAGACCACAAGAGCUGCCGCCCAAGGGGUCAAAGGUUUUUCGCUCUAAGAUGAGUCCGCGUAAGAGUAGCUAGGUGGUGAGGUAAUGGCUCACCAAGGCGACGAUCUUUAACUGGUCUGAAAGGAUGAUCAGUCACACUGUAACUGAGACACGUUCCAGACUCCUACGGGAGGCAGCAUUAGGGAAUAUUGCACAAUGGAGGAAACUCUGAUGCAGCGACGCCGCGUGAGUGAUGAAGGCCUUCGGGUCGUAAAGCUCUGUCGCAGGGGAAUAACACAAUGAAUGUACCCUGUAAGAAAGGAUCGGCUAACUUCGUGCCAGCCGCCGCCGUAAUAC
rnacentral:rRNA from 1 species